rnacentral:rRNA from 1 species
GGGGGAUAUUGCGCAAUGGGGGCAACCCUGACGCAGCAACGCCGCGUGAAGGAUGAAGGUUUUCGGAUUGUAAACUUCUUUUAUUAAGGACGAAAAAUGACGGUACUUAAUGAAUAAGCUCCGGCUAACUACGUGCCAGCAGCCGCGGUAAUACGUAGGGAGCAAGCGUUGUCCGGAUUUACUGGGUGUAAAGGGUGCGUAGGCGGCUUUGCAAGUCAGAUGUGAAAUCUAUGGGCUCAACCCAUAAACUGCAUUUGAAACUGUAGAGCUUGAGUGAAGUAGAGGCAGGCGGAAUUCCCCGUGUAGCGGUGAAAUGCGUAGAGAUGGGGAGGAACACCAGUGGCGAAGGCGGCCUGCUGGGCUUUAACUGACGCUGAGGCACGAAAGCGUGGGUAGCAAACAGGAUUAGAUACCCUGGUAGUCCACGCUGUAAACGAUGAUUACUAGGUGUGGGGGGUCUGACCCCUUCCGUGCCGGAGUUAACACAAUAAGUAAUCCACCUGGGGAGUACGGCCGCAAGGUUGAAACUCAAAGGAAUUGACGGGGGCCCGCACAAGCAGUGGAGUAUGUGGUUUAAUUCGAAGCAACGCGAAGAACCUUACCAGGUCUUGACAUCCAACUAACGAAGUAGAGAUACAUUAGGUGCCCUUCGGGGAAAGUUGAGACAGGUGGUGCAUGGUUGUCGUCAGCUCGUGUCGUGAGAUGUUGGGUUAAGUCCCGCAACGAGCGCAACCCUUGCUAUUAGUUGCUACGCAAGAGCACUCUAAUAGGACUGCCGUUGACAAAACGGAGGAAGGUGGGGACGACGUCAAAUCAUCAUGCCCCUUAUGACCUGGGCUACACACGUACUACAAUGGAUGUUAGCAGAGGGAAGCAAGACAGCGAUGUGGAGCAAACUCCUAAAAACAUUCUCAGUUCAGAUUGCAGGCUGCAACCCGCCUGCAUGAAGAUGGAAUUGCUAGUAAUCGCGGAUCAGCAUGCCGCGGUGAAUACGUUCCCG